rnacentral:lncRNA from 1 species
UUUCAAUAUUUUUUAUAAUAAUAUUUUGCUCAUUAGGCAAACGAAAUGGAAGGCAAAUCAUUAAUUGCAUUUGUAGGCCCUUUCUGCUUAUAUAUACUUACGAAAAUGCACACUCAUAGACAUACAUAAAUAAAUUAUAUACUUUGAUCAAUGCUGAGUUGCAAAGUAAAGAGAAGGGUGUGAUUGGGAUUUGAUCAAUGCAAGCUCCCUUGGUUGCAUAGUGAUUGCAUGUGAGAUUCUACUACUGCGUCGGUGAAAUAAAUCUCCAUUUUUCUACUGACAAUCUUCAUGAUAUUUGUCACUCGUCUUGUUUCACAAGAAGAAAAUAUAGCGCGCAAGUUUCAAACACUAGGUUUAACUAUCUCUUUGGUGGUGAUGAGGCAGGGAAGGUUCACAGUUUAGUUUUGUUGCACAUUGAAAAAUUAGACAGACAUAAUAUAACUAAAUUUCGUGUAUUUUCAAUUUAAAUAUUUCAUUUUUUUUCUUUUUUCUCUCAGAUUAGGUUUAAUGGAAAGUAAAAAUUUUAUUAUUAUCACUAUUAAUCACUAAAUUUUCAGCCUGU